rnacentral:rRNA from 1 species
UCGGGAAUUUUGGGCAAUGGGCGAAAGCCUGACCCAGCAACGCCGCGUGAAGGAUGAAGUAUUUCGGUAUGUAAACUUCGAAAGAAUGGGAAGAAAAAAAUGACGGUACCAUUUAUAAGGUCCGGCUAACUACGUGCCAGCAGCCGCGGUAAUACGUAGGGACCAAGCGUUGUUCGGAUUUACUGGGCGUAAAGGGCGCGUAGGCGGCAUAUUAAGUCAGCUGUGAAAUCUCCGAGCUUAACUCGGAACGGUCAGCUGAUACUGAUGUGCUAGAGUGCGGAAGGGGCAAUCGGAAUUCUUGGUGUAGCGGUGAAAUGCGUAGAUAUCAAGAGGAACACCUGAGGUGAAGACGGGUUGCUGGGCCGACACUGACGCUGAGUGCGCGAAAGCCAGGGGAGCAAACGG